GACCUAGUAGCUCAGUUGGCUAGAGCAUUGGUUGUGCUAAAGCCUUCCCCUUGCUGGCGUGGGUUCGAAUCCCAACGAGGCCA
rnacentral:tRNA from 1 species